rnacentral:lncRNA from 1 species
AAGGGGAUAACUUAUUAGUAAAUGAAGUAUAAUAUUAGUAUCCACAUAAUAUAUUGUAUUGCAAAUAAAUGAUUUUGUUGAAAAAGCUAGACACUGUUGCGUAAUUGAACAAAACCGCAUGAUAUUGCCUUCCUUGUAUUUUUCAUGUGCGUAUCAACAUUUUAUAGUGCAUUUUAGAGAAGUGCGGUUUUGACUUGUCUCUCUCCUAAUAUCGCACAUCAGAAAACAAAAAACAUGAUUGGUAACUGAACUGUGGUUUUCAGAAAACCGCUUUGAAUUCCGCUGUCACAUAUUCACCAAUCACUACCUUAAUAAUCUCAUUAUAAAAUUUGAACUUAAAGCCCAAAUUUGGUCUCGUAUAUGCAUGACAAAUCAAAAAGCUUUCCAAAUAGCAAAAUGUUUUAUUUUUCUUAGGAUUCGAAUGGUAACCGCACUUUUGAUAAUAUAAGCGGUGCAGAAUUAAUGUGCGGUGCAGAAUUAAUGUACGGUACGGUCCAACUGAUGUUCAUGCGGUUUACGGUGUGGAUUUGAUAGAAAAAGUAGUGCGGAUUUGAUAGAAAAUAUAGUGCGGUUUUGAUCAAAAAAUAAAGCAAUUUUUGUAGAAAAAAUUAUAUAUUAUUGACAAAAACAAUGCAAAAUAAAUAUAUCAACAAAUAUAAAUAAAUAUAAAUAUUUUACAAUUUUGAUAUAUAAAUAUU